GCCGCUGUAGCUCAGUUGGCAGAGCGUCGGUUUCGUAAACCGAAGGUCGUGGGAUCGUGACCCACCAGCGGCUCCA
rnacentral:tRNA from 2 species